rnacentral:lncRNA from 1 species
UUCAGCAGCCUUUUGUUUGCAGUAUGUAAUGGUUGCCUCCCUUACUUCAGUUUUGAGAAUGUCCCAAGUAACUCGAGGAUCGUUAUUUUUGGUGAGUAUUAUUUCUUUAUGGGUGUCAAUUAAUUUAAUUAUUAUUUCUUUGUAUUUUGUAUCAUUCAGUAUACUGUUAUUUAUCUUAAAGAAUCCUUUGCCUUUAUUUUGAGCUUUAAGUCUUAUUUGUAAAGAAAUCGCUUGAUGAUCUGUAUGAGAUAUAAGUGCAGGUCUUAUGUCUGCAGAUAUUAUGUGAGGUCUUUUAUCUGGGCUUAUUAGAAAAAAAAAUCAAUUCUGAUUGCAACACUUUUAUUGUUUUUUCUUCUCCAUUUAAACUGGCUGGUGUUUUGAUUUAGUUCUCUCCAAAUAUCAAUAAGUUUAUAUUUUUUUAUUAGUUGCUUUAAACUGUUGACAGGUUUAUUUUGAUUAUUAGAGCUAAUACUUUUUUCUAUCAUAUGAAGUUAAACUUUCAUUCAUGUCACCGCCCAUUGUUAAUAUUCCUAAGCGGUUAUUAUUAAUGAUAUUGUUUACUUUUUUGAAAAAUGUGUUUCUCAUUCGACGAAUGUUAGGAGCAUACACAUUCAGUAGUGUAAAGAUAUUACCAUCAAGUUCUAUAUUAAUGAGUAUUAUUUUUCCAUCAUUAUCUCUAAUUUCAUUUAUAGUUUUAUGUUUUAUGUUCUCUUUGAUAAGAAUUGAUACACCUCUCGAUUGUGAAUUUCCGAAACUAUGGUACAGUUUGCCUUUUAUCUCAUUCUUUAUAACAUUUUCGUUUUUUUUUUUUAAUAAAAUGUGAUUCUUGUAUAAAUAAAAUAUUACACUUUUGAUUUUUUGCACAAUAGGUUUAAUCUUUUCUUUUUUCUUUUUGCCCUAAGCUUGACAGUUUAGGGAACAUAUAUUUAGUUUUUCACUCAUAAUAGAUAUAAUUCAUUUCUAUAUUACACAUGUUCUCAGAAUUAUACAAUAGAGACAAUAGGCUGAGCUUAAAUUGUAACACAACACAUGGUUAUUUGGAAUAGCGGUUUAUUAUAAAGCCCGUCUGGACCAGUGUCCAUAACGGACGGUCUCCUCUAUACAGUAAAAUACACAAGUAUAUAUACAGAAUAUAAACAGUGUCAAGGUUUCUAUUAAUUUGACCAUUUAUAGUCUUAAAUCAAAAGAUACAGGGAUGAAUAUCUAUUAAGUUGAAUCUAAUUGACAUGUUUUGACCAACCUGGAAAUUGAUGGUCAAAGAAUACAUUUAUGUCCAGUGUUUUUAACUAAUUGUUGCUACAUGUCACCACCUGGUCUGCAUGUAAACAUGUAUAUAUGCAACCCAGAGGUCAAUUGAACAACCUUUUACAAGGUCAUGUUUUUUUCUUAAUAGAUAUUCCCCUGUAUUUAUUUUAUUCAAUUUAAUAAACAUUUUGAGAAUAUAUAAUCAUAAAUAUAAAUAUAAAUAUAUUAAAUAUAUAUUUAUAUAUAUAUUUUAAGCCCAUCAUAUUGUCACAUUCCUCCCUUUCUUAAGAAAUAUAAUUUUAUAUUUUAGUUAAAAUCGGUGACAAUAUGAAUGCUUGCAAAUUUCCCUAAAAACAACAAAAAAUAUUCAUAAACAAAAUCAUUUCAAAAGUUCAACAACAUCUAAAUGUUCAGCAAUGUAUAGUUCAUACAAUUCUUGUGUGAAUAACUAAGUUCGUAACAUCAAAUAUCGGAACUUCUUAUUUCUAGAAAAAGGCGCAACCAUCAACUGCGGACCGUCUUCAUAACCCGACUCCAGUGAACUGCUCCUCUGAUCGUCGUUGUCAACUCCAACAAUCCAUUUGUUUAUCUGCAACGCCAAUUCCCGUCAUUUAGAAGUACUGCAAUUGACUCCGACCUGCAUGUGAUCCACCAUCCGUCGUUGAAAACUCCGACUGCAUGUGAUCCACCAUCCGUCGUUGAAACUCCGACCUGCAUGUGAUCCACCAUCCGUCGUUGAAACUCCGACCUGCAUGUGAUCCACCAUCGUUGAAACUCCGACCUGCAUCCACCAUCCGUCGUUGAAAACUCCGACCUGCAUGUGAUCCACCAUCCGUCGUUGAUAACUCCAACCUGCAUGUGAUCCACCAUCCAUUUUUGAAAUUACUCCUAACUGACCUAGCUUACCUACUCUGUUAAUUCAGAGUCCCUGACUAGGUUGCUCAGUUAUCACCGGCUGAAACAUUACAGGCAAAUCUACCUGUGAUGCUGUAGAACGAUUCCCUCUACCAAUAUAAAGUUAUGUGAUCGUAUAGUUUUAUGUACAUCUAAACGUCUGCGUUGUGUCCAAAAUCAAAGCCAAUAUCCAAUACUGGAUAAUGGUUCUUAGUGGCUGGUUCUUGUAAUGGUGCAGAAGCUAUUUUAACAUCUCUGGAGGCAGUACCAUCGCCCUCAACAUUAGUUGACACCAUUUGAUCGCCACCAAGGUAUCGUGUGACUAUUUGAACCUCUCUAUUACUAAAUUAUUCUCUUGGCUAAACACCUAUUCUUAAACUUAAGAAUAUAUUAAUAACAAAAUACCUAUAAAUAUAGCAACAAAAUGAAUUAAUGCAUUUACUAAAUUUGAUAGUUCCAAAGUCGUCCUCAAUCAGUUAUUAUAUUAUUGCCUUAAUUUGGUAAAUGGACUUAUAAAAUUAAUAUUUCAUUUACUUAUAAAUAACUAGAAUAUAAAAACUCGAAAAAAAAAUGGUUUCCAUAUUAAAGUUUACUUUUUUCCUAAAUUAUAUAAUUAAACUGUUUCUACUGUGUAGCAAUUUCCCGAAAAAAAAACAACCUUUCGCUCUCGCAUCACUGAAAAGGUGUUAUAAUAAGGUUUGACAUUCAACCAACACUUUCCUUCCUUUUUCAUAAACAAAGCUGUGAUUCAGAGAUUACUGAUAUUUAUAGGAUUUCUAAACAAUCAACAAUUUUUCAACGAUCAAUCUGAAGCGAGAAUUAGAAUGAUUAAUCAAAACAAAAUUAUUUUAUAUACACAUAUAUUUAUUUAAAAACAAUCAUCACGAAGCCUAUAUAUGUCUACGUCGUUUUAGUCGUGCAUUUUAUUAAAGAUAACAAGAAAUGUUUGAGAGAAAGUUUAACAUUAAUUGAUCUUUCUUUCAGACUUAUGAAUUUUCGUUUAUAUUUCUUUCGGUAUUUUUGAUUUUUCAACAGGCAUGUCUUUGCUACUUUCUAAAUUAUAUCUAUCAGAACUAUUAUCAUUUGUCAUAUCACUUCAAACCGGAAGUUAUAGAUGACCUUAUGCUCCUCUUUUUCUCAUUUUUUCUUGGUUUGCUAAUUUUCUUUUAAUUCAAUCAGCAUCACAUUAAAAUAUUUGCGGAAGAUGUAUCGCGUUAUUGUUUAUAACGAUUAAUCAUAUGAUACUUAUUUCCAUAUUUUAAGUCCUUAAUUGUUUUAUCAUGAAAACAUUUUCAUUUUUAACCCUUAGUAUAAAUUUAUGUACUCUAUAAAUAAUCCUAUAUUUCAUCUAUCGCUAAAUACUUUUAAAACUUAUAAAACCCUACAUUUUCCUAAGAGUGGACUUAAACAAUUACAUGCAUAUCAAUUUUUUUUAUCAUUUGUGUGCUAUCUUCUGACGAUAGGUCUGCCAUUCUUUAAAAAUACCACAAUAACUGUGCCAAAAUAAAGGUUUGGAUUCUAAAUACCAUAGAAUAUUUUGUUUCUCUAAACAAAUGUGCUUACGCACUUACCCAACUGAGUCAACCAUAUUUAAAACAACUAUAUGAUUAUAACAUCGCAGAAAUACCCUUAAAUACGUCGCCAAAAGUGUUCUUAUGAAACUUUUCUUAUACCAAUGUAUAUAGGCGCGUAUAUAUUCUAGAAUUACAGAUUCGUCUCUUCAGAAAACAGCUCAAAAUAUGAAUCAAAAAUUAAAUUAUUAUAUUCAAAAUCAAGAUAUAUUAAAUGUUUUAAUAUUAUCAUUAUUCAUGCAGUUUAAUACUUUAAAAUAUAACCAACAUCUUUAAAAUAUUUUAACCUAUUGUUAUUUAAUUCUUAAAUAUUAAUAUUCAAGUGUGUUGUUUUUUUCUUAUUUAAAUAUCUAUUCUGUCUUUUAAAAAACAGCAUAUAAAAACUUCUCAUUAUAUCAUUACAAUAUGUACGCAAAUCUUAUAUAUUGACUUAUACUAUCAAAUACCUAACAAAGAUGCCAGUCUUUUAUAUUGACUAAAACAAUCAAAUACCUAUUAUAAGUACCUUCACCCGUAUGAUAAUGAUUACAUGAAAAAAUAUCAAUAAAAAAUUUAAACCUUCACCAUUGAUUCGUAAAAAAAAUAAAUAUCUAUUUAUACAUUUUCUCUUAAAAAAUUUUAUUGAAUGAAACAUUUUUUUUAAUGAGUUAAUCAGCAGCUUGAUCAUGAACAAUUGUGCUCACAUCUGAUACACCUAUUCCUAAUUUAUCUGAUUUAGAACCAUCAAAGCUUUCAAUCGAAUUAAUGCCGUUUUUAAAUAUCUUUUGAAUGAGACUUUGAACUUGUGUUUCUAAAUUUUGAAAAACAGACCCUACAUUGAAAUCUUGUCUAGCCAUUUUGAGAAAUAAAAUAAAGAGUAUCAAAUAAAAAGUCACUUUACCUUAAUAUCCUUUGGUCACGGUUAACCAAAAAUAACCACAUGUAACACAACACAUGGUUAUUUGGAAUAGCGGUUUAUUAAAGCCCGUCUGGACCAGUGUCCAUAACGGACGGUCUCCUCUAUACAGUCAAAUACAUAAGUAUAUAUACAGAAUAUAAACAGUGUCAAGGUUUCUAUUAAUUUGACCAUUAUAGUCUUUAAAUCAAAAGAUACAGGGAUGAAUAUCUAUUAAGUUGACUCUAAUUGACAUGUUUUGACCAACCUGGAAAUUGAUGUUUGAAGAAUACAUGUAUGCCCAGUGUCACUAACUAAUUGUAAUGGCUAUAUGUCACCACCUGGUCUGCAUGUAAACAUGUUAUAUGCAACCCAGAGGUCAAUUGAACAACCUUUUACAAGGUCAUGUUUUUCUUAAUAGAUUCCCCUGUAUUUAUUUUAUUCAAUUUAAUUUUGAGAAUAUAUAAUCAUAAAUAUAAAUAGAAAUAUAUUUAUAUAUAUUUUUUAAGCCCAUCAUAUUGUCACAAAAUAAUAGAUAAGUUGGUGUCAUAUUGUUAAUACACAAACUUAUAAUUUUUACAUACACAUAUAAAGUAUACACAUAUAAAUUAUACAAAUUGGGAUAUAUUUCUAAAUAACAUAGUGUCAUGCGUUUAAAACCAACAUUAAUAACAAUCAAUAGUAUGUUGUAUGAGAUAGUCAUACAUGUAUACUUUAUAUUCCAAUAAGGAAGAAAAUUCAAUCUUAUUAUUGUUACAUUUAUUUUUAUUUUCAGGUUGAGUCUAUUGCAUAGAAGAGAUUUUUGCAACAAUUGUAAUUUGUUUUUAAAUAUCAUGUGAAAAACAAGGAAGAAGAGCUCAAGAAGAUGAAAUGAUUGUGCAAUGCAUAUGUCAUGUAUGUGUGACGUACAUUUGUUGGAAUUUAACAGACAUAAUAGUCUUGGAUUUGUGAUAGUGAUUGGAUUAUGUCUGCGUGAAAAUGUGAUUCUAGAAUUUUUCUGAUCUAAUCUGAAUGUCUUUGCAUAAAGAACUGCUGAUGUAUCAUAACAUUUUUUUGGCAUAAGAAAAUUGUUACAGAUUUCGUUAACAAAACAUUUGAUAGCUUUGAUCCAGUUUUUGAUAUGACAUAUAAUUGGUGGAUGAUGUAUGGAAAUUUGUUUGUCAUAAAGUGAAUCGUGGAUUUUUAAAAAGAUAAUGCUAUUCAGUAUCAAAAAUAAAUUACAUUUAUUUCUAUAA